rnacentral:rRNA from 1 species
AUUGAACGCUGGCGGCAGGCUUAACACAUGCAAGUCGAACGAGUGGCGGACGGGUGAGUAAUGCUUGGGAAUCUAGCUUAUGGAGGGGGAUAACUACGGGAAACUGUAGCUAAUACCGCGUACCAUAGGAUGAGCCCACGUGGGAUUAGGUAGUUGGUGAGGUAAAGGCUCACCAAGCCGACGAUCUCUAGCUGGUCUGAGAGGAUGACCAGCCAAACUGGGACUGAGAAACGGCCCAGACUCCUACGGGAGGAAGCAGUGGGGAAUAUUGCGCAAUGGGGGCAACCUGACGCAGCAAUGCCGCGGGUAUGAAGAAGGCCUUCGGGUUGUAAAGUACUUUCAGUCGGGAGGCGUUAACGAAAGAAGAAGCACCGGCUAACUCCGUGCCAGCAGCCGCGGUAAUUG